rnacentral:rRNA from 1 species
UACGAAGGGGGCUAGCGUUGCUCGGAAUCACUGGGCGUAAAGCGCACGUGGGCGGAUUGUUAAGUCAGGGGUGAAAUCCUGGAGCUCAACUCCAGAACUGCCUUUGAUACUGGCGAUCUUGAGUCCGGGAGAGGUGAGUGGAACUCCGAGUGUAGAGGUGAAAUUCGUAGAUAUUCGCAAGAACACCAGUGGCGAAGGCGGCUCACUGGCCCGAUACUGACGCUGAGGCACGAAAGCGUGGGGAGCAAACAGG